rnacentral:misc_RNA from 1 species
UCUGUCUCUAUCUUUUCCUCCUUCGCGGACCGCUUAGUGGAGCAUAGCUUCGUUAUGGCCGUCUGAACUAUUUCCCUCUUCAAUUAUUUCUUGGGGAAUCAUCGAAGAGAGGAGAAGGGUUUUAGUGAUGGAUAAGAACGAAGAGACGGGGAGCCCUGGUUGGGGUACUUCACUUUUCGUACAAACCACUGAAGAUGUUGCAAGAGCUGUGGCUGCUGCAGCUGCUGCUGCAACCGAUGCUCGCUCUCCUCGUCCUUCUGUUAUAUACUCUUCAAAAGACGAUGAGGGUGGCAGUCCACUUCAGAGACUGCAGCGUCAAGUUAAUAAAGUGCUUAAAGGAUUCUCUAGUCCUCCUCAAGUAAAAACUGCAGGAACCUACAAUCCUGAAG